GAUGAGAUAGUCUACCAAAAGAGUAGGGAGUGCAAAACAGAAGGAUGAAUUAAAUAGUUUACACAACCCCAGCAAAAUUGGAAUGCAUAUUUGCGGUGGAUGGAUGCAAGACGUUGCAGCCAAAUAGCGCAGCGGAUCUACAACGUCGUUGGGGUUGUAUCUGUGUUGCCGUUUUUCCAAGAGAUAGGGUUUUUCGAAUUUGUGACUUUUCUUUGAAGCCUGCGAAGACCCCUGUGCUUG